rnacentral:rRNA from 1 species
CCUACGGGAGGCAGCAGUGGGGAAUCUUGCUCAAUGGGCGAAAGUCUGAACCAGCCACGCCGCGUGAGGGAUGACUGCCCUCUGGGUUGUAAACUUCUUUUAUAAGGGAGUAAAUCAAGGAACGUGUGCCUUUAUGCGUGUACUUUAUGAAUAAGGAUCGGCUAACUCCGUGACAGCAGCCGCGGUAAUACGGAGGAUCAGAGCGUUAUCCGGAUUGAUUGGGUUUAACGGGAGCGUAGCUGGGUUGUUAAGUCAGUUGUGAAAGGUGGCGGCUCAACCGUAAAAUUGCAAUUGAUACUGGCAGGCUUGAGUACAGGUGAGGUAGGCGGAAUUCGUGGUGUAGCGGUGAAAUGCGUAGAUAUCACGAAGAACACCGAUGGCGAAGGCAGCUUACUAAACUGUGACUGACGUUGAUGCGCGAAAGUGUGGGGAGCAAACAGGAUUAGAUACCCUUGUAGUC